GAAAUCUUAAAGCGGAACAUUAAAAGUGCUAUUGAUACAGAAAAACUAGAGUUAGUUGGGAGUAGCUGGAAGGGGUGGUGUAGCGGUGAAAUGCGUAGAAAUCACACAGAACACCAAUAGCGAAAGCAAGUUACUAAGCCUAUACUGACGCGGAGGGCACGAAAGCAGGGGGAGCAAACAGGAUUAGAUACCCUGGUAGUCCAGGCAGAAAACGAAGA
rnacentral:rRNA from 1 species